rnacentral:rRNA from 1 species
GGCCAGACUCCUACGGGAGGCAGCAGUGGGGAAUAUUGGGCAAUGGGCGCAAGCCUGACCCAGCAACGCCGCGUGAAGGAAGAAGGCUUUCGGGUUGUAAACUUCUUUUCUCAGGGACGAAUAGAUGACGGUACCUGAGGAAUAAGCCACGGCUAACUACGUGCCAGCAGCCGCGGUAAUACGUAGGUGGCAAGCGUUAUCCGGAUUUACUGGGUGUAAAGGGCGUGUAGGCGGGGACGCAAGUCAGAUGUGAAAACCACGGGCUCAACCUGUGGCCUGCAUUUGAAACUGUGUUUCUUGAGUACUGGAGAGGCAGACGGAAUUCCUAGUGUAGCGGUGAAAUGCGUAGAUAUUAGGAGGAACACCAGUGGCGAAGGCGGGCUGCUGGACAGCAACUGACGCUGAGGCGCGAAAGCGUGGGGAGCAAACAGGAUUAGAUACCCGUGUAAG